CCAGGAGCCCUAGCUCUUUAAGCCCCCAGCUGUAGGUGUCUCUCCAGCAUUGACUGCCAAAUGGGAGUAAACUAAUCUUUAGGUGAUUUCAGCCCAGUUGAUGCCAAGUGAAGUCCCCACUGAGUCCUGUCCAGAAUGCAGGCCCCAUUCCCUUCCCCACCCCAAUUAAUCUGCCAUCUCAAGGUUCAGAAGGAUAGCAAUUGAGGGAAGGAGGGGACAGAGACAAAGGAAGAAGAUGGGGAUGGAGAGAGAAGGAAAAGCCAGGUGUCCACAUGGAACACUGGGAAAAGAGCAUCCAUGUUUCACACUCUCAUGGUCCAUUUGAUUAAAUAAAUGUCCACUGACUGAAUGGAGA